rnacentral:misc_RNA from 1 species
GAUGAAGAACGGAGCGAAAUGCGAUAAGUAAUGUGAAUUGCAGAAUUCAGUGAAUCAUCGAAUCUUUGAACGCACAUUGCGCCCAUUAGCAUUCUAGUGGGCAUGCCUGUUCGAGCGUCAUUUCAACCCUUAAGCCCUGUUGCUUAGCGUUGGGAGCCUACAGUACUGUAGCUCCCCAAAGUUAGUGGCGGAGUCGGUUUCACACUCUAGACGUAGUAAUUUUUUCUCGUCUGUAGUUGAGCCGGUCCCCUGCCGUAAAACACCCAAUUUAUCAAGGUUGACCUCGGAUCAGGCAGGAAUACCCGCUGAACUUAAGCAUAUCAAUAAGCGGAGGA